rnacentral:rRNA from 1 species
GACGUAGGGCGCGAGCGUUGUCCGGAUUUAUUGGGCGUAAAGAGCUCGUAGGCGGCUCGUUGCGUCGGCUGUGAAAAACCCGCAGCUCAACUGUGGGCUUGCAGCCGAUACGGGGCGGGCUGGGAUUCGGUGAGGGAGACUGGAAUUCCUGGUGUAGCGGUGGAAAUGACGCAGAUAUCAGGAGGGAACACCGGUGGCGAAGGCGGGUCUCUGGACAGUUUCCUGACGCUGAGGCACGAAGGCCCAGGGGAGCAAACGGG